AAGUCGAGAGCGUGGGAAACCAGCAAGUUGAGAGAGGAUCCAGAAGUAACCCCUUCUAAAACGGGAAAGAUGCCUUCCGAAAGGUGACCAAAUUCUUGUUUUAGAUGGUGGUGUUAAUUUGGGAGGUUGGAAGGGAGGCAGGUGGGAGAAGGGACAUGUCCCUUUCGAAGAGCCCCUUUGUUUCUUCUGUGGAGCACAGCUCUGUGGGAGGCAUCUGCUCUUUACCUAUAGACCGGAUGGCCUGGUACUGGUCUUCUCUAGACUGAAGGUCCUCCACCAGGUCUCCUGCUGCUGCUACCUAAGAAAGAAAUCUCACAAGGGUGUUAAAAGCACUUGGCCCUAAAGAGAAAACACUAGGAGGAUGGGAACCAGGGACAGAGAAGCUACUUGCUCUGCAGCUGUUUGGGCCAGUAUGUUCCCUAAUCUUGAUGGCCAUCCUGGGCUUAUUUUCCUGAGAGUCUCUAAGUGACUCACUGCAUCACGUAAAACUAAGAAAAAGGAUGUCCUGAAUUUUCCUGCUUAGAGAGCUUGUUUUUCUUUCCUGUUGCAUCAAAGGGGUCUGUUAAACUUUCUAAAAGUACUAAUCUGACCUGAUAUCUGAAGUAACAGAUAGGAAUUUGGGCUCUUUAAAUGGAGCCCUUCCCCCAUACCUGCAUCUCAUUGAAGAGGCUGAACUUCAAAACAAAAUCAUGUUGGAGAAUUAAGUCUCGUUCCCAGAUUUAAUUUCUUAUUUUUAUAUUGUUGCAUAAGAAAUCUACUCUAUAAGGCAUCUAUUUUCAAAUUUGGAAAAUCUUAUUUUAAGUUCAUUUAUUUAAAGACCAACAAACAAAAACACCAAAUUCACUAGCCCAGGUCUUUAUGGACCACCAUCUCCCCUCCCCGCCUCCAUUUCUCCCUGGAGUAGUGAUUGUGGGGCCACUGCAUGAAUUUUACUCUAUUAUUUAUCUAAUGAGCAAAGCCAAGGCUGGCAAUGCUGAGAAUGCAUGAGGGAAAAAAA
rnacentral:lncRNA from 1 species